GGAAAAGAAACUAACAAGGAUUCCCGUAGUAACUGCGAGUGAAGAGGGAAAAGCUCAAAUUUAAAAUCUGGCAGUGUUUCACUGUCCGAGUUGUAACCUAGAGAAGUGUAACCUGCGCUGGACCGUGUAUAAGUCUCCUGGAAUGGAGCAUCACUGAGGGUGAGAAUCCCGUCUUUGACACGGACCACCAGUGCAUUGUGGUUGUGCUCUCAACGAGUCGAGUUGUUUGGGAAUGCAGCUCUAAAUGGGUGGUAAAUUCCAUCUAAAGCUAAAUAUUGGCGAGAGACCGAUAGCGAACAAGUACCGUGAGGGAAAGAUGAAAAGAACUUUGGAAAGAGAGUUAAACAGUAUGUGAAAUUGUUGAAAGGGAAACGUUUGAAGUCAGUCGCGUCGGUUGGGGAUCAGCCUGACAUUGUUGGGUGUACUUCCUGGUUGACGGGCCAACGUCAGUUUUGAUUGCCAGAAAAAGGCCAAAGGAAUGUGGCACCUUUGGGUGUGUUAUAGCCCUUGGUCGUAUAUGGUGGUUGGGACUGAGGAAAGCAGCGUGCCGAAAGGCCGGGUUUCGACCACGUUCACGCUGAGGAUGUUGGCAUAAUGGCUUUAAGCGACCCGUCUUGAAACACGGACCAAGGAGUCUAACAUGCAUGCGAGUGUUUGGGUGGAAAACCCUUACGCGUAAUGAAAGUGAAAGUUGAGAUCCCUGUCGUGGGGAGCAUCGACGCCCGGACCAGAACUUUUGGGACGGAUCUGCGGUAGAGCACGUAUGUUGGGACCCGAAAGAUGGUGAACUAUGCCUGAAUAGGGUGAAGCCAGAGGAAACUCUGGUGGAGGCUCGUAGCGAUUCUGACGUGCAAAUCGAUCGUCAAAUUUGGGUAUAGGGGCGAAAGACUAAUCGAACCAUCUAGUAGCUGGUUCCUGCCGA
rnacentral:rRNA from 1 species